rnacentral:SRP_RNA from 1 species
GCUGGGUGUGGUGGCGCACACCUGUAAUCCCAGCUACUCAGGAGGCUGAGGCAGGAGAAUUGCUUGAACUCAGGAGGCAGAGGCUGCCGUGAGCUGAGAUCACGCCACUGCACUCCGGCCUGAGCAACAGAUUGAGACUCUGUCUCAA